rnacentral:rRNA from 1 species
AACCUGGCGGAUGCUUACACAUGCAUGUCGAACGGCAGCACGGGAGCAUCCUGGUGGCGAGUGGCGAACGGGUGAGUAAUAUAUCGGAACGUGCCCAGUCGUGGGGGAUAACGCAGCGAAAGCUGUGCUAAUACCGCAUACGUAUCUACGGAUGAAAGCGGGGGAUCGCAAGACCUCGCGCGAUUGGAGCGGCCGAUAUCAGAUUAGCUAGUUGGUGGGGUAAAGGCCCACCAAGGCGACGAUCUGUAGCUGGUCUGAGAGGACGACCAGCCACACUGGAACUGAGACACGGUCCAGACUCCUACGGGAGGCAGCAGUGGGGAAUUUUGGACAAUGGGCGCAAGCCUGAUCCAGCAAUGCCGCGUGCAGGAUGAAGGCCUUCGGGUUGUAAACUGCUUUUGUACGGAACGAAACGGUGAGCUCUAAUAAAGUUUGCUAAUGACGGUACCGUAAGAAUAAGCACCGGCUAACUACGUGCCAGCAGCCGCGGUAAUACGUAGGGUGCGAGCGUUAAUCGGAAUUACUGGGCGUAAAGCGUGCUGCAGGCGGUUAUGUA